GACAGAGGGUGCAAACGUUGUUCGGAAUGACUGGGCGUAAAGCGUAUGUAGGCGGUCUUGUAGGUCGGAUGUGAAAUCCCUUGGCUCAACCAAGGAAGUGCAUUCGAAACCACGAGACUUGAGUGCCUGAGAGGAAGGUGGAAUUCUCGGUGUAGAGGUGAAAUUCGUAGAUAUCGAGAGGAACACCCGUGGCGAAAGCGGCCUUCUGGAAGAGCACUGACGCUGAGAUACGAAAGCAUGGGGAGCAAACAGG
rnacentral:rRNA from 1 species